UUUCCGUAGGCGAACCUGCGGAAGGAUCAUUCAUAAUAAAGUGUUUUAUGGCACUUUUUAAAAAUCCAUAUCCACCUUGUGUGCGAUGUUAGAUCUCGUCAAUCUUGGCGAGAUUUUUAUACAUCAACUCAUUCUUUAACUAAUUUGUCUGAAAAAUAUUAUGAAUACUUAAUUCAAAAUACAACUUUCAACAACGGAUCUCUUGGCUCUC
rnacentral:misc_RNA from 1 species